ensembl:lncRNA
CCUAAGGGCAUGCAGCCCGGGAAAAGAGAGCAAGAUGGCAGAGGCAAGCAGUGUGGAAUGUUCUUACUGAGGAAGACCUUCUCAAAGCUGAUGAUGUAAUAGGUAUGAAGGAGCAUUUCAUGGGAGUCACGGUCCCAUGCCCCUGUGUCAGGGCACACAGAGCUCCUAGCCUUGCAUCCUGCGUGAGAGGGGUCCUGGAAUAUUCCCUGAUCCCAACAGGGUCCUGCAUUGCAUGGUUCCCCCUCAGUUAUGGUCCUCCCUGUGCCUCAUGGGGUACGCAGCUUCUAUGGGAUGAACUUAUAUCAGUGAUUAACUGGAGCUGGACCACAUCCACACCACAGGCAAGCCCUGGACACUGAGGACAUUAAGAGCAGCAGACAACAUCUCCUCCACUGCUUCUGACUCUGCUCCACAAGGCAAGGCAGCUCCCACACAGCAGGCAUCCAGCCUAACUCCCAGCAGGGAGAGUGUGAGAUGUCUGUGGAUGAGCCCACAGGGACUACAGGAUUCUGUGGGAAGACAUCUGGUAGGUUCUGGAGCAGCUGCAGCAGCCAGGACACAUGAACUACAGUGGAGACAGAAAAGUAGCACACCUGUCUCCAGAGGCUUCACUCAGCAGCUGAAAGCCACAGCCAAUCUUCAGAUGGAGCUCGGGAAGUCUUGUGGAAGAGUGGGGGAGAGUGCCAAGCAAACUGGUUGGGUUAAAACACUACAAGAAGUCCCCUACCAUCAGAUACCUUGGACCAUGGAGUAUGCUAGAGCCUGUGCAACCAACCCCAGAGCCGGGUUAGCUAUCUGCCGUUGGUCUCCAUGUGGGUCAUCUGACAAGUAGAUCCAGGACUCUCUGUCUGUGUUGCCUGCAUUGGAUCUGUUCCCCAUACCCGGACUGCCUGAUUGUAAAUCUGUGGGGCAGAAUGUGCUCGGUCCACCUGGGACUAGAAGUCCCGGGGUGGUGUGGUACCCAAGGGACUCUCCCCUUGUCUUAAGAGAAGGGAGAGCAUUAUGGUAGUAAGGAUUUUAAGGUGGGACUGGGAAGGGAAGAGGGAGAGUGACUGGGAUCAGG